CUCCUACGGGAGGCAGCAGUGGGGAAUAUUGGACAAUGGGCGCAAGCCUGAUCCAGCAAUGCCGCGUGUGUGAAGAAGGCCUUCGGGUUGUAAAGCACUUUUAUCAGGAGCGAAAUCUGCAGGGCUAAUACCCAUGCAGUCUGACGGUACCUGAGGAAUAAGCACCGGCUAACUUCGUGCCAGCAGCCGCGGUAAUACGAAGGGUGCAAGCGUUACUCGGAAUUACUGGGCGUAAAGCGUGAGUAGGUGGUUUCUUAAGUCUGCUGUGAAAGCCCCGGGCUCAACCUGGGAAUUGCAGUGGAUACUGGGAAGCUAGAGUGCGGUAGAGGGUAGUGGAAUUCCCGGUGUAGCGGUGAAAUGCGUAGAGAUCGGGAGGAACACCAGUGGCGAAGGCGGCUACCUGGACCAGCACUGACACUGAGUCACGAAAGCGUGGGGAGCAAACAGGAUUAGAUACCCUGGUAGUCCACGCCCUAAACGAUGCGAACUGGAUGUUGGGUGCAACUUGGCACUCAGUAUCGAAGCUAACGCGUUAAGUCGCCGC
rnacentral:rRNA from 1 species